CUCAGGACGAACGCUGGCGGCGUGCCUAAUACAUGCAAGUCGAGCGGAUUUACUGGAGUGCUUGCACUCCAGUAGGUUAGCGGCGGACGGGUGAGUAACACGUAGGCAACCUACCCUCUAGACUGGGAUAACUACCGGAAACGGUAGCUAAUACCGGAUAAUUCCCUGACCCACCUGGGCUAGGGAUGAAAGGCGGAGCAAUCUGCUGCUAGAGGAUGGGCCUGCGGCGCAUUAGCUAGUUGGUGGGGUAACGGCCUACCAAGGCGACGAUGCGUAGCCGACCUGAGAGGGUGAACGGCCACACUGGGACUGAGACACGGCCCAGACUCCUACGGGAGGCAGCAGUAGGGAAUCUUCCGCAAUGGGCGAAAGCCUGACGGAGCAACGCCGCGUGAGUGAUGAAGGUUUUCGGAUCGUAAAGCUCUGUUGCCAGGGAAGAACGUCCGGUAGAGUAACUGCUACCGGAGUGACGGUACCUGAGAAGAAAGCCC
rnacentral:rRNA from 1 species